rnacentral:rRNA from 1 species
GUGUCAGCAGCCGCGGUAAUACGUAGGUUGCAAGCGUUGUCCGGAAUCACUGGGCGUAAAGCGCACGCAGGCGGCUUUGGAAGUCCAAGGUGAAAGCCCUCGGCUCAACCGAGGGAGGCCCUUGGAAACUCCAGAGCUCGAAGGCGGGAGAGGCAGAUGGAAUUUCCGGUGUAGCGGUAAAAUGCGUAGAUACCGGAAGGAACACCAGUGGCGAAAGCGAUCUGCUGGCCCGCUCUUGACGCUCAUGUGCGAAAGCUAGGGGAGCGACCGGGAUUAGAUACCCUGGUAGUCC